CGAGCGGAUGAGGGAGCUUGCUCCUGGAUUCAGCGGCGGACGGGUGAGUAAUGCCUAGGAAUCUGCCUGGUAGUGGGGGAUAACGUCCGGAAACGGGCGCUAAUACCGCAUACGUCCUGAGGGAGAAAGUGGGGGAUCUUCGGACCUCACGCUAUCAGAUGAGCCUAGGUCGGAUUAGCUAGUUGGUGGGGUAAAGGCCUACCAAGGCGACGAUCCGUAACUGGUCUGAGAGGAUGAUCAGUCACACUGGAACUGAGACACGGUCCAGACUCCUACGGGAGGCAGCAGUGGGGAAUAUUGGACAAUGGGCGAAAGCCUGAUCCAGCCAUGCCGCGUGUGUGAAGAAGGUCUUCGGAUUGUAAAGCACUUUAAGUUGGGAGGAAGGGCAGUAAGUUAAUACCUUGCUGUUUUGACGUUACCAACAGAAUAAGCACCGGCUAACUUCGUGCCAGCAGCCGCGGUAAUACGAAGGGUGCAAGCGUUAAUCGGAAUUACUGGGCGUAAAGCGCGCGUAGGUGGUUCAGCAAGUUGGAUGUGAAAUCCCCGGGCUCAACCUGGGAACUGCAUCCAAAACUACUGAGCUAGAGUACGGUAGAGGGUGGUGGAAUUUCCUGUGUAGCGGUGAAAUGCGUAGAUAUAGGAAGGAACACCAGUGGCGAAGGCGACCACCUGGACUGAUACUGACACUGAGGUGCGAAAGCGUGGGGAGCAAACAGGAUUAGAUACCCUGGUAGUCCACGCCGUAAACGAUGUCGACUAGCCGUUGGGAUCCUUGAGAUCUUAAUGGCGCAGCUAACGCGAUAAGUCGACCGCCUGGGAGUACGGCCGCAAGGUUAAAACUCAAAUGA
rnacentral:rRNA from 1 species